UGAACAACUGUAAAGUUUCCCACCAGAAUCACUACUCCAAUUAUUAUGUAAUAAAUUCUACUGCCUGUCUAGUUGUGGGGCCUCU